GGACGUGGCGGUUGACGG
rnacentral:sRNA from 1 species